ensembl:snRNA RNU6ATAC7P RNA, U6atac small nuclear 7, pseudogene
GGAUUGUAUGAAAGGAGAGAAGGUUAGCACUCCCCUUGACAAGGAUGGAAGAGGCCCUUGGGCCUGAUGACACGCGUAUAGUUAAGGUACUGCCACCUACAUCGUGGCAUCUAAACAUCAUUUUUUU